CAGUUGAGAUUCAGACCUUGACAGUUGUAACCGAUAGACUGGGCUGGGGCAACGCUGAUGAAAGGCAAAUUCCUGAGAGAAAAAUCACCCAGAGUAAGGAGUUUGGCACUGUAGACUAGAUUCAGCUGCAGGAAUUGUGCACUAGAAAAAUGCAGUGUUUCUUUUUUUUUUUUUUUUGAGACGGAGUCUUGUUCUGUCGCCAGGCUGGAGUGCAGUGGCACCAUCUUGGCUCACUGCAACCUCUCUCUCCCGGGUUCACAAGAUUCUCCUGCCUCAGCCUCCUGAGUAGCUGGGAUUACAGGCACCCACCACGAUGCCCGGCUAAUUUUUAGUAGAGACAGGGUUUCACCAUGUUGACCAGGCUGGCCUCGAACUCCUGACCUCAUGUGAUCUGCCCGCCUGGGCCUCCCAAAGUGCUGGGAUUACAGGUGUGAGCCACUGCGCCCGGCCAAGAUGUGGUGUUUCUAAUGGCAGGCACUUGAACCCAAUUGAACCCUGAGAGCUCUCUGAGAGGGCUGUGUGUCUUGGGAAUGAGAGAGUUAUGAGUUUUUCAGUGCCUUCUCUAGCUUUCUAGAAGUUGUUAUGAGUGGACCUGACUACCUAGAGAGAGUAAUACAGAAGCUCCGUGCCGAUCACAGCUACCUCAUUACCAUGUUCCUCCAAGAUGGCCGCCCCUGAGGAGAAUCAUCAACUGGGCUUUACGGAAGAGAGAAAUCCAAACGACCAUCAGCAACAAAUGAAAGACUGAAGUUGAAAGGAAAUCCAUAAUUUUUGAAUGCUGGCCGAGGUCUGUGACCUCUGACUGAAUGGUUUCCAAGCUCCGAAUUCCUAGGUGAUGUUUUCAUUUGUUCACACUUGCUGAAGAAGGGAAAGGCUCUCUGAUUUACGUGUAAGCAAAACAAUCUAAACAGUAGGAUAAAAUCAUGUUGGAAUGGAGUUCUGUGUGGAUGCUCCUUUGAACCAAAUCAGUUCCACAACUGACCCUG
rnacentral:lncRNA from 10 species